UAAAAACAUAAACAAAAAUAAUUGGUCUAGUCAGAGAGUGGUUGUGGUGCGUUUUCCAAAAAAAUCGAUGAAAUUUGAGAACUUUUCUGGACAUUGCCUUAUAGCUAUCGAAAAUAUGCCGUCCGUUGUCAUCCGCACAACACUUUCCAUGAUGCCCCGGAACUACCGUUUCCCUCGAUGUCCAUCGAACAUUAUUGGGAACUGUUGAAUGAAGCUUUCGAGGUGCUGUCUGACCCACUACGGAAGGAAAUUUUUGACAUCUAUGGUGAAGAAGGAUUGAAAAAGGGAGUGGUAACUCCUAAGGGAUUUGUUAAGCCUUACUUUUUUGAUAACGACUGCAUGAGAAUCUACAAAGAAUUUUUUGCUACUUUCUCACCUUACGGUGAUCUCAUCGAUUCCGUCACAAGUCCUCCCCCAUUGUGCAAUGAUGAUAGUUCCAAUGUCAAGACGAAGGGUCCCGAUAUAGAACACGUGAUUGAGCUCGAACUGGAGGAGAUUUUCCACGGUGCCCUUAAGAAGAUGCAAAUCGUUCGAGAAGAGUUCCUGGAUGAGGCUCAAGUGAGCACCACCCUGGUGGAAGAAACUCUCAAGAUUCACGUUCCGGCUGGCAUAUCUAGUAACGCAAGGAUACGCUUUCCGGAAGCCGGGGAUUGCAACGCCAAAACCAUACCGUCGGAUGUUGUUUUUGUAGUGCAGGAAAAGCCCCACGCAAGAUUUACUCGAAGUGGACAGGACCUACAUCUCACGGAAACAAUUUUUCUGGAACACGCCAUGCUAGGAUUUCGACUGGAGAUUCCCGGAAUCGAUGGCCGGACCAUUGUAACUCAAAUAGUGGAUGUGAUUCAUCCGGGAUAUAUCAAAGUACUCAAAGGAGAAGGAUUACCGUUCCCUGAAGACGUUUCUAAAAACGCUAGAGGGGAUUUGCAUGUUACAUUCAAAGUUGUCUAUCCGGAUUUUAUUCCCAAAGCAAUCAGAGAAAAGUUUCGGGCCGUUUUCGAAGAAUUCACUGCUUUGCAACAAGAUCUUCCCAAUCAAUGAAAACGGUAUAUUUCGCGAGUAUCUACCAGUAUAAGGAACAUGAGAUGCCUAAAUUUUAAAAAUGUUACACAAUCAUUCAAAACCAGUUCCUAUUUAGGAACGAAAUUAUAGACUACAAUCUCAAAAUUACCUUCCCCUCCGAAUGUGCUGUUGAGGAUGCCUUUCACUUUGUCCCACUCGAGACCAUCGAUGCCGCAGCCAAUUCGAGGGAUGGCUAACUUUUUCGCUCCAUUUUCACUCUAAAAUAUAAACAAAUAUUAUACAGAUCAUUCCAUCUUUCUAUCUCAAUCUACCCCAACUUACCAUAUGCUUGCGCAUGGCUUCCAACGAUUUGGCCAGAUCGUCAUAGGUGGGCUUCUGGUAGGAAGUUUUUUUGGUGAUCAAAUAGUACACGAAGCGAGCGUCAUCCUUAAGGACCGCAACACCACCCACGCCAACAUUCUGUGCCUUGAGUUUGUCUUCCUGCUUGAACAGUUGCUUGAAGCGGACAGCGAUUCCGGCACCCAUCUUCAAAUCGGCUGCCACGCAGUGAGCCAACGAGUGAUCCUUGGGAGCGGCAAACAGAUCACCGUCGAUUUCGCGAACGCAUCCGGUUGAGGAGGACAUGUUAGUGAUCUGGUGGGACAAGCAAAAAUAAUGGAUUUACGGAAAUGUAAAUACAAUCACAAUCACAAUCAUCACAAUCAUAAUCACAAUAAGCGACUGUUUGGGAAGUUGCCCCAGUAAGAGAACUAUGAAAGUUUCAAGAAGCAGGAUGGCGGCCUUAUUAUCUAGACAUCAUAUCUUUACAGUUUACAGGAAUCGGAAGCACUUCAGCGGGCUCGGCUUCUUACGAAAAAGUCAUUAUGAGCUGGCUGGUAGGAUGAGGAUCAUAUGGUGAAUGAGCUAAAACAAAAUGCACCACAUAGUUCGCCGCAGCUUGGGAGUUGGACGAAUGUGUUAACGAAAUUAAAAAUUUAUGCAGAGAAAGUGGUGACCAAAAGUGUUUUUGUUUAAGAAAGAUUAGUGUUUUUGUUCAAGAAGUACUUAAGUUAUGAAUGUAAAAAGAG